CUUGGUCAUUUAGAGGAAGUAAAAGUCGUAACAAGGUCUCCGUUGGUGAACCGGCGGAGGGAUCAUUAAAGAGUUGCAAAACUCCCUUUAAACCAUCGCGAACGUUACCCACGACGCCGUUGCCUCGGCGGAGCGUCGCCCCGUGCCGUCAAAAGUACGGGGCGUGCGCCCGCCGGGAGACCGGCACAACCAAACUCUUAUAACCAUUGGCCUCUCUGAGUAAGAUUUUUAAAUAAGUCAAAACUUUCAACAACGGAUCUCUUGGUUCUGGCAUCGAUGAAGAACGCAGCGAAAUGCGAUAAGUAAUGUGAAUUGCAGAAUUCAGUGAAUCAUCGAAUCUUUGAACGCACAUUGCGCCCGCCAGUAUUCUGGCGGGCAUGCCUGUUCGAGCGUCAUUUCAACCAUCAAGCCCUGCUUGUGUUGGGGUCCUGCGGCUGCCCGCAGGCCCUGAAAACCAGUGGCGGGCUCGCUAGUCACACCGAGCGCAGUAGCACAUCUCGCUUUGGUCGUGCGGCGGGUUCUUGCCGUAAAACACCCCCCUUUUAUCAAGGUUGACCUCGGAUCAGGUAGGAAUACCCGCUGAACUUAAGCAUAUCAAUAAGCGGAGGAAAAGAAACCAACAGGGAUUGCCCUAGUAACGGCGAGUGAAGCGGCAACAGCUCAAAUUUGAAAUCUGGCUUCGGCCCGAGUUGUAAUUUGUAGAGGGAGCUUUUGGCGAGGCACCUACUGAGUCCCCUGGAACGGGGCGCCAUAGAGGGUGAGAGCCCCGUAUAGUAGGACGCCGAGCCUUUGUAAAGCCCCUUCGACGAGUCGAGUUGUUUGGGAAU
rnacentral:sRNA from 1 species